UUUAACUGAGCGUUCAGUUACUUGACGUAGACCCGAAACCGGGCGACCUACCCAUGAGCAGGAUGAAGCGAAAGUAAAAUUUCGUGGAGGUCCGAACCCACGAGCGUUGAAAAGCUCGGGGAUGACUUGUGGGUAGCGGUGAAAUUCCAAUCGAGCCCGGAGAUAGCUGGUUCUCCCCGAAAUAGCUUUAGGGCUAGCCUCAAGGUGAGAGAUACGGAGGUAGAGCACUGAAUGUCCUAGGGGGUAUUGCACCUACCGAAGACUAUCAAACUCCGAAUGCCGUCAUCUUAUACUUGGGAGUCAGACUGUGGGUGAUAAGAUUCAUAGUCGAAAGGGCAACAGCCCAGAUCGUCAGCUAAGGUCCCUAAAUGUAAGUUAAGUGGUAAAGGAUGUGGGAUUGCACAGACAACCAGGAUGUUGGCUUAGAAGCAGCCACUCAUUCAAAGAGUGCGUAAUAGCUCACUGGUCGAGUGAUCCUGCGCCGAAGAUUUCCGGGGCUAAAACUUACUACCGAAGCUACGGCAUCAGUAAUGAUGGGUGGGGGAGCUUCCCAUACGGGUUGAAGCAUGACCGUAAGGACAUGUGGACAGUAUGGGAGUGAGAAUGUUGGCAUGAGUAGCGAGAUGUGGGUGGGAAUCCCACAGGCCGUAAACCCAAGGUUUCCAGG
rnacentral:rRNA from 1 species